CCGAGUUGUGGAAACACAAUCUCCCUUUCUUGUUGUUUGACCGGUUGCCUUGCCUUCGGGCAGGAUUAUUCUGAAUCAGUGUCGUCUGAGUACUUUUAUAAUACUAUA
rnacentral:misc_RNA from 1 species